rnacentral:rRNA from 1 species
AGAGUUUGAUCAUGGCUCAGGAUAAACGCUGGCGGCGUGCCUAACACAUGCAAGUCGAACGUCCUCUGGCUUCGGCCGGAGGGAGUGGCGGACGGGUGAGGAACACGUGGGGACCUACCCUUCAGUGAGGAAUACCACCGGGAAAUCGGUGACAAGACCGCAUACGCUUGGGCAACCAAGCAAAGUCGCUUUCGGGUGACGCCCCAAGAUGAGUCCGCGGCUGAUUAGCCAGUUGGUGGGGUAAUGGCCUACCAAAGCAACGAUCAGUAGCUGGUCUGAGAAGACGAGCAGCCACACUGGGAUUGAGAACGGCCCAGACUCCUACGGGGGGCAGCAGUGAGGAAUUUUCGGCAAUGGACGCAAGUCUGACCGAGCAACGCCGCGUGCAGGAUGACGGCCUUCGGGUUGUAAACUGCUUUUCUCUGUGACGAGCAAGGACGGUAGCAGAGGAAUAAGUCCCGGCUAACUACGUGCCAGCAGCCGCGGUAAUACGUAGGGGGCAAGCGUUGUCCGGAUUUAUUGGGCGUAAAGGGCAUGCAGGCGGUCGUGUGCGUAUGAGAUGACAAUGUGUGGCUUAUCUGCACAA